rfam:Sorghum bicolor cultivar BTx623 chromosome 4, whole genome shotgun sequence.
AUUUUGUUAUGUAGCCAAGGAUGACUUGCCGGCCGAUCGAUGCCUCAUCCCUGUCCGGGAACGUCAUGCAUGUGAUGCAAACUGUGAGGCCGCAUCGUCGAUCGACCGGCAGGUUCUUCUCUUUGGCUACACGAUGGCCUCG